UCUCUCGAUGUAGUGCUUGUUAGUGGGGGGGAGUAUGUCCCUAUCACCACCACCAUCACCACCACAGCGAACACCACCAUCACCACCAUCACCUUCAUCACCAACAUCAUCACUACCAUCAUCUAUUGGGAAUGGUGAUGAUAGGGGAACACCGCACCUCUCUCUCUCUCACCCCUCCACCAUCACCUCCACCAUCACCUCCACCUCCACUGUUAGCAUCACCAUCACCGCCUCUCAAGAUGGAAUGGACCCACCCCCCUCACCCCCCUUGCCUUACUCUCCCUCCUCCUCCCCCCUUCCUCCCCCCCUUCCACAUGAUGCCCGGCCCAACUCUCUUCAUUUAUCCACUUCUUCCCUCUCCCCCACCUCCACCGCCCCCCCUUCUUCCACCUCCACCACCUCCUCCUCCUACACCUUCACUUCCGCACCCUCACCCCCGCCUGCACCCUCCCCCACCUCUCCCCCCACCCCUACCUCUCCCCCCACCCCCACCACCCCCACCACAUCCCCGACCUCCAUCGUGUUCCGACUGUUUGUUUCCUCCCCUCCCCAAUCCCCAGCUGCCUCCCCAACCUCUGAGUACCCCAUCUCCUACUCCCCACCCAUGAGCUAUUCUUCCCCACCCCCCACCAUCACCCCACCUAACUCCCCCCCAACCUCACCCCCAUCUCCCCCAAUCCCCUUCCCUGGCCUCGCUGCCGCGCUCCCCAUCCCCACCCAGAGCUUCCUCCUCCCCCUCCUCGCCCCAACCGCCGCCCCGCCUCCCCCCCCACCCCCGGAAACCCUCUUAGCCCCCAUCCCCCACUCCUGUAGUACGACCCCACUCAUAUGCUUACGCCAGAACACCCCAUCCCCGUCACCCCCCGCUACCCCGACAACCCCAGCCCCCCCGCCCCUCCGCCCGCACCCCCAGGACUCCAUUGACUCACUGGAGGACGCUGGGGAGGAGGGGGAGCCAGCACCCCGCCGCCCCUCCAAGCUGGCCCCCUUCGCCGGGCAGCACCAGCGGAGGGGCUCGAAUCUUUCCGUGACCAUCGCCCCCUCGCGCCGGCCGUCCCUGGUCUCGCUGCUCAGUGUGACCCCGUCCAUCGCUGGCCGGCGGUUCUCCUUCAACAUCGGUGGUGCCCAGAAUAGGAACGAUCAGAUGGUCUCGCUGAGCUUCCGCACCCUCGAGUCUUACAUCAACGAGGACAACUUGAGUGGCCUGCAGACCUUCCUGGCGACGCGCUCUGUGGUCAUCGACGACAAGGACGAGAAUGGCUCCACGGCGCUCCACCUCGCGGCCGCCAAGGGCAAGCCGGACCUCUGCAACGAGCUCGUCCUGCACGGCGCCGAUGUCAACGCGGAAGACAAUGACCAGUGGACGCCCAUCAUCUGUGCGGCGAAGGCGGGCCACCUGGAGACAGUGGGCCUGCUGGCUGACCACGGGGCAAACAUACACCAGAAGGACAUGGGCGGAUGGACGUCCCUAAUGUGGGCAAGCUACAAGGGCCACAGUGACUUGGCGCGGUACCUCCUAACGCGAGGGGCUGACCCAAGCACCCAGGGGCAGCACCACAUGACCUCGCUGGUGUGGGCGGCCGGGAGAGGUCACACGGAGAUCGUUCACUACCUCCUGGACCACGGUGCAAAGACCAACGUUGGGGACAAGUUCGGAACGACUCCGCUCAUCUGGGCGUGUCGGAAAGGGUUCUUCGCCAUCGCUGAGGAUUUGCUGAGGCAUGGCGCGAGUGUGGACGCUUCGGGCAUGUACUCAUGGACACCGCUGCUUGUGGCGACGCGGGGAAACUACGUGGACUUGGUGAACCUCUUACUUGAGAAGCGGCCGAACCUGAACGCCAUGGACAAGGACGGCGGCACGGCCCUCACCAUCGCCUGCAAGGAGGGCUACACGGAGAUCGCCACGGCCCUCCUCAACGCUGGGGCCUACGUCAACAUGCAGGACCGCAACGGGGACACCAACCUGAUUUAUGCGGCGCGUGGUGGGCAUCGUGCGGUGGUGGAGGCCUUGCUCAAGAAGUACGCCGACGUGGAUAUCGUCGGGAAGGAGAGGAAGACGGCGCUGUACUGGGCGGUGGAGAAGGGGCACACGUCAGUGGUUAAGGUCCUCCUCAGUGCCAACCCCGACCUGGAACACACCACCAAGGACGGGGACACGGCCUUGCUGCGAGCCGUGCGGAACAAGAGUGCCGACGUGGUACAACUGCUGGUGGACAAGAAGGCGAAGGUCACAGUGGUGGACAAGAAAGGCGACACUGCUCUGCAUAUUGCCAUGAGGGGACGGUCCAAGAGGAUAGUGGAGAUCCUUCUGAGGAACCCCAAGAACAGCCAGAUGCUCUACCGCCCCAACCGAGCCCACGAGACGCCCUACAACAUUGACCUCUCCAACCAGAAGACCAUCCUCGGACAGAUCUUUGGGGCCCGUCGCCUCAACACCAACGAGGACAACGAGAACAUGCUUGGCUACGACCUCUACUCCUCCUCCAUGGCGGACAUCCUCAGCGAGCCGUCCCUCUCCAUGCCCAUCUCCGUCGGCCUCUACGCUAAGUGGGGCUCCGGCAAGUCAUUCCUCAUCCGCAAACUGAAGGAGGAGAUGGGGAGCUUCGCCAAACAGUGGGUGGAGCCGCUGUUUCAGAUCUCCCCGCUGUCCAUGCUGGUGGUGCUGCAUCUGGCGCUGCUGGUGGGACUCAUCGCUGCUGUACCCUCGUUUAGCCUCAUCGUGGGCCUGGCGGUCGGCGGCGGCAUCUUCGUCCUUCUCACCUUCUUCCUCUUCAUUCUUAGUCAUAGCUCGAGAAGGUACGACUGGAAUCUGUGGUACCAGUGGAGCGUGAAGCUGGAGCGGCAGAUGGCGGCCUUCAAGCUGGUGCUGCAGGUGAUAUUCUGCUCCCCGCCUGGCGCACAAUGGAAGGAGUGGAAGGACGGCGUGCAGGCGCGACCCCUGAAGUUCAUCUUCGCUGAGGGGGCCAAGCCGAGCAGCACAGCGGCGGGGGAGAACUCGGUGGUGCAGAUGCUGGGCUCGCUCUUCAACAUGGUGGAGCGAGAGUACGGGAUGUUUGCCACCAGGUUCUACCGAGCGUUCCGGCCGAAAGCUCAGGGCGCAUCAUCACCCUGGAAGUACCGAAGGCUCUGUGGCAUCCCCUAUGUGGUCAUCUUCUUCGUCACGCUGGCCUGCCUGGUGAUAGUGGGCGUCAUAGGCGGCCUCUACGGCUUCCACGCGGAGACGCCCUUGGUGGAGGAGAUGGAGGCGCCCACUACAGAGGACCUCCUGCCGGACACUGGGGACGAGGACGAGGAGGAUGACGUGGCCAGUGGGGAGUCUAGUGAAGAGAGCGAAUACUAUGAUAACCGUCCUUACCAUGGGCACCUGAUGAACCCGCUGCUCAUCACGCUGGGGGUGCUGGUGGCGGUGGUGGUGGUGGCCAACCUGCACACCCUCGUCAGAAUGGUUGGCUCCCUGGUCUUCUCACACCGCCGCCACCUCCUGCGCGCCGUGGCCAAGCUGGACACCAUCAAGGCCGAGGGCUACCUGCAGACCCUGAAGGGGGAGGUCAACCUGAUGGUGGAGAUGGUGAAGUGUCUGGACGCCUUCACGGUGCAGCAGACACGGCUGGUGGUGGUGGUGGACGGCCUGGACAGCUGUGAGCAGGAGAAGGUGUUGUCUGUGCUGGACGCAGUGCACACCCUCUUCACGGACUCCUCGGCGCCCUUCAUCAUCCUCCUCGCCAUUGACCCACACAUCAUCACCAGGGCGAUAGAGCAGCAUGUCCAUCGGGUGUUCAACGAGUCAUCGAUCAGCGGCCACGACUACCUGCGGAACAUUGUGCACCUGCCCUUCUACCUGCAGAACUCCGGCCUGAGGAAGGUGAAGCAGGCGCAGCAGGCAGCGGAGCGGAUGCGUGGGCGUUCCCAGAGCAUGUGGCUGGAGGUGGAGACGGACUCUGUGAGCCUCGCCGCCACCUCCGCCAUUGGGGGCAUCAAUCACAUUCCCUUAGAGCGCUGUCUCUCCUCUGAUACCGGAUUCAGUAUUCCUAUCCCUGCCAAUCGCCGCCUAUCCACGGAAAGCGGGCUGAGUGCGUCACAGAACCUGCGGCGCAACAACAGCAAGACCAGCCGACGCACCCUCAAGCCCUCUGACUCCAUCGCCUCCUCCAUCGGCUCGAACUUGAACAGGGUGGGCGGGGCGCAGGAUCUCACCAAGGUGUUGUUAACUGACGACUACUUCAGCGACAUCAACCCCAGAUCCAUGCGGAGGCUGAUGAACGUCGUCUACAUCACAGGAAGGUUACUCAAAGCAUUCCACAUAGACUUCAACUGGUACCACUUGGCUUCGUGGAUCAACAUCACGGAGCAGUGGCCGUACCGCGCCUCAUGGCUCAUCCUGUACUACGAGGCACACGAGGAAACCCUGGAGGAGAAGACUUCCCUCAAGGACCUCUAUGAAAAGAUCAAGAACCAGGUGCCCAUCUCCAAGGACAUGGAACCCCUGCUGGAGAUGGACAAGGAGGAGAAGAAGUUUGAGAUCUUCCUCUCUAUGCACAAGAGUUCCCUUCACAUCUCUGACCUCAAGGUGUUCCUGCCCUUCACCAUCAACCUGGAUCCCUUCAUUAGAAAGGUGAUCAAGGAGGACCAGCCACAGUUUGAGGAUGGCCCACAGUUCCUUGGUCAGCCGGCUCCGUCCCCGUGGAGCUUCCAGCAGUACGACGCAGCGCCCAAGAAUUCCACCACACCACGCAGGCCGCCCAUGCGAGGCAACCAGAAGAACUCCACGGCCAGCCUGCCCCCCAUCAACCCCAUGAUGUGGGGGUACGGGCCGCCCCACACCUUCAUGCCCAACAUGCAGAGCUCCUCCUCCGUCGACUUCAACCAUGUGCCCAUCACCGUCAACCCCAUGGCUGGCCUCAGCCCCAGCCACUCCAGUCUGCCGCCAGAGGCGGCGGACAAGAGGCUCUCUACACUGACCAUCGACGGGCUCUUUGAUGUGUUCAGCAAGGUGGAGGGCGUCAGUACAGGCAUGCUGCCCGCCUACAAGGACCGCCUGCAGGAGCACAACAUCAACGGGAAGGUCCUCAUGCACUGUGACCUGGACGACCUGAAGAAGGUACUACUCAUGAACUUUGGCGACUGGGAGUUGUUCCGCGUCCUGAUCCUCGGCCUGAGAGAGCGCGAGGCAGACGACGACUACCUCACCAAGAACGUUCGCUUUGCCGACGCCUCACACCACCGCCAUGACGACCUCGACACCCCGGAUGAUUCGGCGGCCCCCAGCAGCCUGACCAGCCACCCCAGCAGCAUGGACGGCUCCCUGGCAAGACGCGGGUCAAGCCGAGCCUCGUCGAUACACAGCGGCAGCGGCGGCGGCAGCGGGAAGGAGAGGGAUGACACGCACUCCUCCAUACGCAAGGCAACCAAACAAAACCUCCUCGCCAAGCAGGGAGAAUUGGGAGGAGGAGGAGGAGGUGAGAGGGGAGGAGGGGACAGGGAGGGAGGAAAGGCAGCCGGGAAGAGAGAGGAGGAAGAAGAGGAGGAGGAGGAAAGGCUACCGUUUCCAAAAAUGAUCAUUCCAAAAAUUGUGAUUCAGCAGGUGACCAUGGAGGAACAGCUGAUUUUCGGGGCGCUGCAGACCCUGAACGAGGAGGCGUGCGAGGACGUGCUGGAGGAGCAGGAGAAGAGGGGGGAGGCGCCCCUCUCAUCGCCCCCCGCAGGUGACGGCGGCGGGGGUGAAGGAGGGGUGUGCGGGGACGUGGCGGGGAUGGGGGGCGGCGAGGGGGGGUCGAAGGAGCUGGAGGUGGUGUACUUGCAGUCCUCGCCGCUGCUGUGCCAUAAGGUGGUCACGGCGGCGCCCCCCUCCGAUCAGGGUUCCGCCGCCCCCUCCCUGGCAUCGUCCAGCUUCUCGCCUUAUAAGUCCACGAACGCCUCCUCGCUGUCCAGGGCGUCCUCCAUCCGGUGCACUUCCAGCCCCAACUCCCCGAAGCAAAGCGUGACGGACCGGCCCCCGGGUCUCCCUCAGGGGCGGCGGGAAGAGGGGAACCCGCAGUCCAGGCAGGAGAGGCGCGAUCUGUCACCUCUCAGACGGAUGUCCGCCUCCACCACGUCGUCUCCGCUACACAAACAGCGAGAACGACCCCAAUCCCUCGUCCUGGAAGGCUCCAAGAUGACAGCCUCCAGCCCCGCCACGCCCCACACGGAUCUCCCUCCCUCGGGCACCCCAUCCUUAGUCUCCCUUCCUGACGUCCCCGAGGCAGCCAUCAGACAGUUAUCUAUCACGGAGCAGCUCUCGGCGACAUCCCUGGAGAAGCUAAGGAGGCUAAAACAUCGACUUUCCCGUGUGCUGGGCUCCCACGAAAUGGUGACCCGCGAUUCGAGUGAAGAAGCCGAGACAUCACCGCUGGUCCUAGCCACACCACCUGCAUCCACACCCACCACGCUGCCCUCACCCUUCAGCCACACCCCAGACUCCCCCAAUAUGGUUUUCACCUCAAAUCAUUGCGCCGCAGAUCCGUACAGUCGCCCCCUCACCCCGUUGUUAAGACAGGAGGCGAUUGACCCCUCCCCAACGGCCUCCCAGAUCACGGUGAAGAGCUCCUCCCCAUCUGACAGGGAAACUCCGGUCUGACACACCCACGCCCCCCCUCCCCAGCUGCCCCCCCUCCCUCAUGCCGGGGAGUGGGGGAUUUGGGGAAGGUGAGGAGGGGCUGAGACGCUUAAAAAAAAGACCCAUACACACAAAUUUCAAGUUUUGUUUUAUUUUUUAACUUUUUGUGGUUGUGGAAGGUUGGUGUACAUGUUUUAUUCCAUUUUUACAGAGAUGCACAUGGUUUCAUACAUACAUACAUACAUACAUACACAUAUAGCCUACAUACAAAGACCUGUGGAAAUAGACACACAGGCAAACACAGACAUACAUAUAUACUCUAUUCAUACACACAUACAUACAUACAUACAUACAUACAAAACCCCAUUUUUAAAAGAAGUGAAAUCUUUUAUAUAGAGAUAAUGUUUUGUAACACACACACACACACACACACACACACACACACACACACACACACACACACACACACACACACACACACACACACACACACACACACCUUUACCUGCUAAUUGAAGGUUGUGUUCGGCAGGUAAGUGAGUGACGAGGUGAGAUUCUCUUGCUCAAGGUCACACGAGGUCAUUUUUCAAGGUCAUAGUCGUAAAGGUCACGAUAUUAGGUGUUAAGCAUUGUGAACUCGCUCUUAUGUCGCUCUUAUUGUAGACACACACACACACACACACACACACACACACACACAGGGCUCUCUCUUUGAUUAAACUGUACAUUGGCCCUAUUUUUUUAGCCUAAUAUUCUGGGUCAUCAACGUUUUAAUUUUUACGGUUUAUUUAUGUCUACGAUUAUUACUUCAGACGAGACAAUGUGGCCCUAAAAUUUUACCUAAGGAACAAAAUAUGACUAAGAAAUUACUAUGGACAAAAUAAUAUCUGUCUAGAUGAUUUAUAAGAGUACUGUGCAGGGUAUUUAUAAGUUAAUUGUAUACUAUCCCUUGAGAAUAUACACAUGGCAGGAAUUUGAUAUGUUUCGUCGUGUUGUGGAGUUUCGUCUAUUUAUUUCAUCGAGUGUUUGUUUCUUCGUUUCUCGAGUGAUAUUAUGGUCGAUAUUACAAGACACGUUCGCUUCUCACAUCAGCUAUUUCUAAAGGUCAAAGAGGGGGUCAGUCGGGUUCUCCUAGUGUUUCUUCAGGUUCACGGUACAGAGGGAGGGUCAAACUACCACCAGGGUCAUAAAACUACUCCUGGAAAUGCCCAAAAAGUUCUAAUUAGUGUUUCUUCAGGUUCACGGUACAGAGGGAGGGUCAAACUACCACCAGGGUCAUAAAACUACUCCUGGAAAUGCCCCAAAAGUUAUAAUGAGUGUUUCUUCAGGUUCACGGUACAGAGGGAGGGUCAAACUACCACCAGGGUCAUAAAACUACUCCUGGAAAUGCCCCAAAAGUUCUAAUGACUGUUUCUUCAGGUUCACGGUACAGAGAGAGGGUCAAACUACCACUAGGGUCAUAAAACUACUCCUGGAAAUGCCCAAAAAAUUCCUAAUGAGUGUUUCUUCAGGUUCACGGUACAGAGGGAGGGUCAAACUACCACUAGGGUCAUAAAACUACUGGAAAUGCCCAAAAAAUUUCUAAUGAGUGUUUCUUCAGGUUCACAGUACAGAGGGAGGGGCAAACUACCACCAGGGUCAUAAAAACUACUGGAAAUGCCCACAACUACGAAAGCCUUGUUAAAUGUGUGUUCUUGGGCGACGAAGUGUUUUAUAAUACGACCCAAUGAGUAACGUUUAUGUCACUCCGUCUGUUCGUUGUUUUAUAUCGUUUUACGUUACUGGUUUGUGUUGAUCCUGAAGUGGUUUUAUCCUUAGUUUCUUUUUAUGGUAAUCUUAAGGGAACACUGUGAGUCGUUCCUUUACCAAUCAGUCUAGAGAGAGAAAAAUAAAACUAUAAAUAGCCUACCAACUGUUCACUUUAGUUAGGAUGUGCAAUAGACUAUUUACGCAUGUGCAAUACAACACAGUGAACAAAGUGGACAUAGAGAUGAAUUAUUGCAUGUUUAAAAGGUAGGAUAGAAAACGGGAUAUAGUGAGAAAGUGAAAGAAAACGAUCGGUAGGUUUAGAUGACUUUAAUGAGAGAAAACGUGAUGUGCUGAGGUGAAACGAAAAUAUAUUAGCAGCAAAAUAGGGAAAGAAAAAUAUGAGGUUAGAUGGUAAUGAAAGAGAUUGUGAAGUAGUGGUAAAGGGGAAGAAAAUGACUUAGAGAAGAAAGAAAGAAAACAUGAUGUAGAGCAGAAAUGAAGGAAAAUGAAUGUUAGGCUUAGAGGAAAAAGGAAGAAAACAUGAUAUAGAGCUGAAGUGAAGGGAAAUGAAUGUUAGGCUUAGAGGAAAAGGAAGAAAACAGCAGAAGUGAAGGAAAAUGAAUGUUAGGCUUAGAGGAAAAAGGAAGAAAACAUGAUGUAGAGCAGAAGUGAAGGAAAAUGAAUGUUAGGCUUAGAGGAAAAAGGAAGAAAACCAUGUAGUGCUGAAGUGAAGGAAAUUGAUUGGCAGAAUUAUAGGAAAAGAAAGGAAACCUGAAAUAGUUCUGAAAUGGAAGAAAGAUAUCAAAAGGAAAAUACGAGAAAAAGAGAACGUGAUAUACUGAAAUUAAAAAAAAGUGGGAAAAUAGGAAAAUAAAGAAUGUGACGUAGUGCCAUAGUGAAAGAAAAUCAUUGAUAGGAUUAGACUUAGAAGACGGUAAUGAAGGUAAACUUUAAUAUAUUACUAAACAUAAAAAGAUAAUUAUUGGUAGGACUAUAGGACUUAAAUAACAGAAAACGUAAUCUAGUGCUUAAGUGAAUAUGAAAAAAAGAGUUGCCAUAGUGUGAUAUAGUAGGAAUAUUCAAUUUGCCAAACAGUGAGAUAGAAGAUAUAUAAACUAGAGCGUGCAAAGAAUAGGGAGCAAAUACUCAUCCAUACGACAGUGAACAACAACAACAACAACAACAAUAUAGCUUAAAAUUAGAAGAAAAAAUGUGUCCACUCAGAAAUCAUCAUAAUUGUGUAUUGGAUUUAUUGUGUUAUUUUGAAUGAUUGGUAUUUUGCUUUUGAUCAUUGUAUUACUUAGGUUUAUAUUGGCAGAUGAAGAUUUUAAGGUUUUAUGGUACACUAUAUUUUAUUUUAUUGUAUUUUUUGUCUAUGAGCGUGAAUACUUUGACUUGAUAUCCUCGGUUAAUAUAUUUUUCUUGAUGUGUAAUGACUAGUUAUUAAGUAUCAUUCUUAUUUUCAUUUUAUUUGACAUGAAGAUUUAGAAGUUUUACGAUAUCUUUUUUUUUUUUUUUUUUUUUUUCUAUGAACGUAAAUACUUUCUCUUGUUAUCCUCGGUGAAUCUGUUUUUCCUCGAUGUGUGAUGACUGGCUUGGUUGUGUUAAUUGUAUAUUCGUUUCCUCUUUAUAAUAAGGUGUAAUGACUUCAAAGACCUCCUCCCAAAGUCUCCAGAUCUUGCCUAAUAAUCGGAUGCUCUUCCUGACGGGGUUCAAACCGACUAUUACUGGCUCUUCACUUCUAUGGCUCAGCGCUCUAACCCAUUCGACCACUGCGCCACAAAAUUUACGAAGAAUUUUUUUAUAUAAAUUUAUGGAACCGCGCGCGACCCUUAUUCUCAGACAAGUCUAUAAAUUCUCAGACGUCUCGAAGUCUAUACUUGGAUGAAGGGCUCUAAUAAAGGGGAUGUCAAUAGGGUUUUGGUUGUAAAAGAACCAGAUAGGACACGUAGCAAUGGUUUUAAGUUAGAUAAAUUCAGAUUCAACAAAGACAUAGGCAAGAAUUGGUUUACCAGUGGACUGGUUGGAUAAAUUCAUGGAUGGUGAGGUAAGGUGGGGUCAGGAUUACAAGAGUUCCUUACGUUCUUAUGUUCUUAUGUUCUUACUUUCGGCUCCCACAACAAAUAUUUCCCAGGGUCACAAAGGAUGUUACUCUGGGUCUCAUGAGUGUUUUUCACGUUCAUGGCCCAGAAGCCUUGCCAAACUAUCACUAGGCUCUUAAAACUACCCCUCAUGAAAAUACUAACAAAACUCUACGGAAGCCUUUACAAAGUGUGUGUGCUCAGGCCCCAAAUGUUUGAGUAUAUGGCCAGUAUUCUCAGACGCUUUUGGCUCACACUAAAGGUUUCCCAAGGCCACAAAGGAGAUUAGUUGGGUUCUUUUUAGUGUUUCUCACGUUCAUGGUGCACAAGCCUUGUCAAACCUCACUACCCCUCAUGGAAAGACACAAAAAAACUUCUACGACAGCCUUAUCAAAUGUCGGUGCGUAAGGCCUGAUAUGAUUGAGAUUAAGGGCCGGAGCUUCACAUUAUCAAGAAAAUCAUUAAAUAUCCUUACUGACCGAAUUAUUGCAAGGGUCGAGCAAUGGAAUAGAAGAGAUUGACCAACAUGAUCACAGGUACCGAGAGUCGAGCAAAAUUCAAAUUGAUUCUGAUACAAUUGUGAUUUUUGUGCUGUAGGUAUCGUCAGCAUCUCGGAAAUACCUAGUGGAUACACACACACACACACACACACACACACACACACACACACACACACACACACACACCACUUGUAUCAUCUUCAAUUUGAAUUUCGCGCGGUAAUGACGCAGCAUAUCUCUCCUAGUCUCUGGCUCGAUCCUCUUUUUCUUUAGACCUGUAUCGCUUUGUAGCCCUUCAUAGGUCCUCUUCCUCUUGGUCCUCUCUUCUGCUUGUUGAUACACUAUACCUUUCCAUAGCACUACACUCUUUAUCGUUCCUCACUAUAAUACAAUAUCGCGCCAUAUUUUCCGUAGUCUCCCGUCUGUGGGCGGAGAAAGAAACUGGGAAGAGGUCUUUUGGUCGUUACGAUGAAACUGUCGGACUAUAUUUAGUCUGUUAGCGUGAUGACUAAUUGUAUAGUCACCGUAGCCGAUACUAGGGCUAGGCGGAGAGAGAGAGAGAGAGAGAGAGAGAGAGAGAGAGAGAGAGAGAUUGGUGAUUAGUAAAGGUAAAGUUGGGGGCAUACGCUGUAGCAGCGCGUGGGAUCGGUGCUCAUCUCUGUAACAUUGGCCCUUGAGCCUGUGGUGGGAGGGAGCCCAUUACCCCGGGACACAGAUUGGUGAUUGGUGAUUGCUAAGCCUUAUUUUCUCUAGUUUAUUCAUACCCCCCCCCCUCUCUCUCUCUCUCUCUCUCUCUCUCUCUCUCUCUCUCUCUCUCUCUCUCUCUCUCUCUCUCUCAUCAACCCCCAAACCACACUGGCAUUUUUUUCCCUUCAAAUCAGUCGUUUAAACACGAUUUGAUUAGUCUUAUUAUUAUUAUUUUGAAUCAGUGGAAAGUAAGAUUUUUUAUUUUUAUUUUGCUGCUUUUGUUUUUAUUUACUCGUUUAUUUAUUCAUUAUUGCGUCCCAUUAUAUAUUUGGUAACGCAUUUCUUUAUUUGUUGCGUUAGUCUCUUAUUAUGAGCAAAAGUCUCCCGUCACAAAUCUUUCUCCCUGUAUCUGCUUUUGAAAAGAGAAUUUUUGUGUGAUAAUAUUUCUUAUCACUAAUUAUUACGUCUGCUUUUCAUUUCAAUAUUAGGUUAACUUCCUUCUUGUAUCGAGUUAUUAAUGUCUUUGAUUUGACCUGAUGGGCGUCGUGGCUUUGUGAUAUAUCAUGAUUGUUUUCGUUUGUUGUGUUAAUUCGCUUUCAUGUGCAUUAUGUUAUCCUUCGUUUUUGUUAUUUUUGUUUGCCUGUGCACAUGUUAUUAUAUGUUGCAUUAUGUAAGCGUGCGUUAGUAGGCGACAUAUGUUUAUCAAUACUCACAAAACUGUAGUGCAAUGUAGCUAAGGUAUUGCUAAUGUAGGUGACGGUGUUGCAUUAUUAUUAUUAUUAUUAUUAUUAUUAUUAUUAUUAUUAUUAUUAUGUAAGGUGCGAUGUGCCAUAUACUGUUUAAGAUAUUUUUACCUUUCCCGCAUUUUGCCUUUAACUUUUUUUUGUAGGAUACGGGAGCCUUAUAUUACAAAUUAUUACUUUCAUGUCACCAACUUACACUUAUUAACCAUUUCUAUUUUCUUGUCACAAGGGGCACUCAAACAGACCUGUAAUUUUUUUAGCAUAUGUAUUUUUCAUCUGUUUUUUCCCAUCAUUUGUCUGUGUUUUACUUUCCGCUUCCCGUUUUCUUCCUGUCUUGGUUUAUUUUUAUUAGUCGAGGAGAGAAGGAUCACAGGGGGCACUCAAACAGACAGACGUAUUAUCAUUUUUUCCUAUCAUUCUUUUGUUUUCUACUUUCCGCUUCCCGUUUUCUUCCUGUCUUGGUUUAUUUUUAUUAGUCGAGGAGAGAAGGAUCACAGGGGGCACUCAAACAGACAGACGUAUUAUCAUUUUUUCCUAUCAUUCUUGUGUUUUCUACUUUCCGCUAUCCGUUUUCUUUUUGUCUUAUUUUAUUUUUAUUAGUUGGGGAAAGAAGGAUUGAAGGGGCACUCAAACAGACAGACGGAAGGAAAGAGAAGGAGGGGGAGAGGGAAAGUAAUGUCUGUGUAGGUACGGCAUAGAUAAGAAGGAAGGAAGAAGAGGAAGAAGAGGGAAGGUAAUGUCUGUGUAGGUACGGCGUAGAUAAGAAGGAAGGAAGAAGAGGAAGAAGAGGGAAGGUAAUGUCUGUGUUGGUACGGCAUAGAUAGUAAGGAAGGAAGAAGAGGAAGAAGAGGGAAGGUAAUGUCUGUGUUGGUACGGCAUAGAUAGUAAGGAAGGAAGAAGAGGAAGAAGAGGGAAGGUAAUGUCUGUGUUGGUACGGCAUAGAUAGUAAGGGAGGAAGAGAGGAAGAAGAAGAAGAGUAAGGUAUCUAAUCAUUUGUGUGUUUUCUACUUUACGUUUUCCGUUUUCUUUGUCUUGGUUUAUUAGAAGGGGAAAUAGGGGUUGAAGGGGCACUGAAACAGACAGAAGGAAAGAGGAGGAGGAGGAGGAGGAGGAGAGGGAAGGUGAUGUCUGCGUAGGUACGGCGUACUAAAUAGAUAGGAAGAAGAGGAAGGAGAAGGAAGAUGAUGUCUGUGUAGGUACGGGGUAUUUAGAAAGGAAGGGAAGGGGGAGAGGAAGAAGAGAGGAAGUAAGAUAUCUUAUUACAUCUCAUAUUUCAACAGUCUGUCCCUUCAUUCAUAAAGAAAUCAGGAAAAAUAGUCAUGCGUGUCCAUUCUUCAUCAUUAUUUCAAGUAUUACUAAAAAAAAGGUAAAAUAAAGUGACGUACGAUAGUUUAUACACGAUUACUCAGUUCUCAGUUCUACACACGUGAGAAGUCUUGAGUGAAGUUUAGAAGCAAUCACUAACAUAUUUUCGACCCGCCACAAACACGAACAUAGUUGUGUAUAGGAAGGGCGGGAAACAAUUAUGGCCUUUCAUGUCUGGUGGGAGAAAUAGGUUGUUCUCCUUGGCCUCUCUCUCUCUCUCUCUCUCUCUCUCUCUCUCUUCGUGGGUCAUGUUCAGUGGUCAGGUCACAGGUGGCGCCUUAAUACAAGAACAGGACGUGUAUAUAUGUGCACGUGUGAGAGAGUUGGAAGGAUUGGCUGUAUGGUAUUAGUGUUGUUUUUGUUAGCCUAAAUAUAGCAUGCCUGGGGUCGUUUUUGUUUAUUAUUGGGUUUUAAUUAUCUCUAUCAGAUGCCUUUCUAUUCCUUUUCGGUAAGGGAAGUAAAUUUAAUUGGUAUUCGUGAGUAAAAAGGGAAGGAGAGGAAGGGUGAGUGGAUUCGGUGCUCAGCUGGUUCGGUUUGGUUGGGCUUGUUAUAGUAUAUAUUGGCUGAGUUUACGUAAUUUGGUUUUAUUUUUUUAUCUAUUCGUUAUAUUCUUUUAUCAGUUGCUUGCGUAUCACCAUUCAUUUAAUAAGAAAAGAACAACAAAGUAUACAAAUGCGCAUCUAUUAGCUGUUUUUUUGUUAGUUCCUCUCUAUCUAGUUACAUAGUAAAGAAAAAAAAGUCACUGAUUUAUGGAGAACAUUUCUGAUUGGGUGAAUUUUUGCAACAUUACCUCAGAAAGUUUGUAUUAUAAAAUAACAAAAGCGCAUCGCCAACCAUUGCUUCGAGCAAGCGACGACUCAUCGUGACCCUCGCGCGGCCGGCCAGGUGAAUUUCCAUUAUUCCUCGUGUUUUAGCUAGAUUUUAACUUUAAUUUUCCACGCAAAUAUGAUUUAAGGGUUCGGGGAGGGAGGAAGGACCGAGAAAGGUUAGCGGGGCUGCGGGCAGGGUGUGCUGCUGGUGGCGGCUCGGCGCGGGGGAGGAAAUAAGUGACUGAGUCUCAGGGUUACGGCAGGUAGAAUUUAGCGUUGAGAAGAGUGUUGCGCUCACAGGUAUUGAGACUGUUACUCGUCAAGAGCACAUGGGGAGGAUACAUUAGUGUCCACGAGGGGUUGCAGGAUUAUGGAAAACUCAUUUCACAGGUACUGACGGUGAUAUGGGUUGGGGUGCUGUUUCAAGCACACGGGUUAUCCGUAACGUAGUGUAUAUGCCUCGGUAUGGUCAAGUGAAUUUAUUCGGCAUCGCAAAUGUUCUGCAUGAUUACUAAGAAAGAGGAGUUCUUACCUUAUUAAUUAAGCGGCCAUAGGGAAAAAGUCAAGGUGGGCGGAGCCCCUCCGUUAUGAGUUCGGAGAGUGAAGGGUGGCACAGCCCCUCCAUUAAGGGUUGGGUUAGAUGAGAAAUAAUUAUUACCUUAUUAAGAUGCAGGGAGUGACUAUUGAUGUGUCAGGGUGGGGCUCAGUGCACUGCAGGAAAUGUUCCCCCAACAUCCUUACCACAAAAAGCAACAACUAUAGAUUCCGCAGAAGAAAAUUAUACACCCCCCCAAAAAAAUAUGCCCAUGAAAAGAAGUCUGUCUUGAAAAUAACACACCCACUUCUGCUGCAUAAUUACCAGAAUCUUAAUAUCCUAAAAAUGUAAUUUAUUUAUUCUUUAUUUAAUGGACUUUUUGCACACUAAAAGAUUACUUCCUCUCUCCCUCCUCAUUUCUCUGCCUCAUUGAAAUGUGCUUUAUUUGAACAAUUGUGAGUCUGACUGGACUGGCUGGACUUCGUUUAAAAGCCAAUUGACGAUGUUGGUUCUUGUGUACUACUUUUUCAUUUUUCCUCUUCAUUCAUACACAUUAUUCUCAUUUACACCACCAUUUUGAUAUGCCAGUGUGAGGGAGCUUGCACUGAUAUUUUGUCUUUAGGUUACUGUGCUCAAAAGUCUGUGGAAAUUGUUUUGAUUUUAUAAUAUUAUCUUUUUUUUUAUCAUUGGCUCUUUUUUCAUAUCAUCAGCAGGAAGAUAGGAAAGUAUGGAAUAUGUAAAUGUGAGGGAGGUUAACCUUAAUUCUGUCAUUUGUUUAUUGGAGAGAGAGAGAGAGAGAGAGAGAGAGAGAGAGAGAGAGAGAGAGAGCACACACUACCUACCAACCCAUUUACCUUCCAUAUAAGGAAGUUUAGAAUGUCUUGUCCCACGUCACUCUUGUCUCACCCUAGUUCACACCUCACACCUGCUCCCAGCGCCUUGACACAACCUUGAGGCACAGUUAGAAAUAGUACAAGAUAGAUUGUAAACCUGCACUGGUAUUCACAUUCUUCUGGUUAUUUCUUCAUCCAUAUUGUCUAUAUUUUGCCUCUAUAUUUCUUGCAUUCCUUAUUAACUGCACAUAUUCACAUUCUUUUUGUUAUCUCUUCAUCUAUAUUUCACUUAUGUUUUCACCUCUAUUUCUCACAUUCUUCAUUAACUACAGUGCUGCUCACAUUCUUCUGGUUACCUCUUCCACCUAUGUUUCUUCUAUAUUUUCACUUAUAUUUCUUAUACUCUAUAUUUUCUUUACAACACAUGCACCUUCACUAAUAGUUUUCAUAUGUUACAGGUUAUUCAUUUUUCCCUUACUUCACAUAUUCUAUUUUUCUUUCCCUAUAUUUAGCACAAGGACAUUCAUAAAUUAGCAUUAUACUUAUAAUUUUCACAUGCUACAGGUUAUAUUUUUUUCUCUUACCCUCAGUACCUCCUGUUUUUUUUGUUUUGUUUUCUUCAGUAUGUUGUAAGCCCAUUCACAAAUCAGCAUUACACUUAGAAAUUUAUUUAGCUUGUAGAAAAGGAAAACAGUUUUUUUUCACCUUCAUUUCCUCCGUUGAUUUAUGUUUUUUUUUCCUCCUUAUGUUUAUCAGAAGCACAUUCACAAAUCAGCAUCACCUGUAGGAAUAUAUUUAGGUCACAAAAGAAAGGCAAGACAGUGUUUAAACCAUCACAUAUUUUGUCAUUCUCUCGUCUCAGAUUUCUCGAGAGUUCGGUAGACACAGUUGUCCAAUUUUUCCCGCCUCUGAUCAAUCCACCACCAAUGUAGGUUGUGCUUUAUGGAGAAUACUAAUUAUAGACUGUGAUUGUGUGUGUGUGUGUGUGUGUGUGUGUGUGUGUGUGUGUGUGUGUGUGUGUGGAGUCUGAUCAGAUGUUAAAGUGCAAGAAAGAUAACAUUGACACAAGCUUGUUUUUGAUUAAUAAAUUUCAAAAUAAGUAUCCCCCCUUUAUUUCUUUUACACGUGCAGUAUGUAUGUGCCACUUGUAAGAUGAUGUUUACAAAUGUUAUUCCCUUCAACAGUAAAUAUAUAUUCUGCCAUUUUUCUCUUGAUUCUGAAAGUCUUCAUACAUACUAAUGUAUACCUCAAAUUAUAUUAUGAUGCUAGAUUUUCUGGCUUUGAAGAUGUCUAAAUUGGUACGUCUUCAAGUGUUUUCAUUAUUCAUCAUACACAAACAUAUAACUUCUCGCUUCCUCUCAUGACAAAAUGACGCAAUUAUUGUGUAACUCGUUCAUUUUUAUCCGCUUGUCAUGGUCUGUCUGUCUGUCUCUCUGCUACUGUCAUCUGUGUAGAAGUAUGUUACCUGUGUUUCUUAUGAGUGGCUGGGGGUAAAUUGUGUGUGUGUGUGUGUGUGUGUGUGUGUGUUUGAUAUAUGGUAAUAGGUCACUGACUUUGUAUAUACAUGACUAGAUUUAGGUUGCUUCUAUAUUACAAUGUUUAGGAAAAGAUGGAUGUAUGCAUUAUUAUCAUUAUGAUUAUCAAUAAGUAUUAUUGUGAGGUUGGUUACGUUGUUUUAUUCAUUGAUGCAUCUGCAUUUUGUACUUUGUUCAUUAUUGUAUAUUCUUUCCUGAGUAUAAACGGGGCCUUGUAGGUACUAUGGAACUGUUGUUAUUAUUAUUAUUAUUAUUAUUAUUAUUAUUAUUAUUAUUAUUAUUAUUAUUAUUAUUAUUAUUAUUACUAUUACUACCUUCGUCGCUGGUGUAAUAUGUAUAAUUUCAAGAUGUAUAGUGCAAUCUUUGUUAUUAUUCAGUAUACAUUAAGUUAAUUACCAGUAUUUGCUACUACUACUACUACUACUAUUACUAUUACUACUACUACUACUACUACUACUACUACUACUACUACUAGUACUAACAUUAUAAUUUCUUGCAGUGGUUCUAGGGAAUCAUUCAACAGAUACAGUAUAUUUUUUGAUGCUGUAAAGGGCAUGUACUGUGGGACAUUCUCACAUGUUUUCAAGAUUAAUACAUAUCUAAAAAAGACACUG